UUCCCGUGUUUACUCCCGAUUUGAUUACAGGCGAUUUAAGCCACCAUUUGACGCACCGUUUCCUCCUAUUUAAGCCCCAUUCUCUCCUCUUCAUUUCCCCUCAAAUCACACAGACCGAUAGCCCCCAGGCUGCUCGAAUUUGAGCUCGCAAGUCCGCGGUACCGGCAACUUCCCGGGACGAUUCCGAGACGACGCCAUAUUCAACUGCAGUCCGCGAGAAGGUUUUUCGGCGAGCGACUGCGCGUGAACCAGUGCACCACGACGUCCGUGACUUCGCCAUCAAGUUCAUCCUGUCAAGCUAAGAGCCUUUGUCUGUUUCUCCAUCGCCAAGGAGCACCAGAACUCCGCCUCCGCAAACUCCCGAGCGCCAUCGCCGACGUCGCACGGAACUCCGGUCGUUCUUCGUCGUUGUUCCAGGAAGCUCCUGAACACAUAAACUGUACCGUCGGAAUCAUCACGUCGAUCAUCUUCUACUACUCCUGCAUCUCCGGUGACCACCAGAACGCCGUCGCCAUUCGCGCCCGACUCACAAGGGUCGUACUUCUGCCAGACUACCAAUUUUGUACGGAGAGCUGCAUGUUUUGAUUAAGAGAAGUGAACGUUCUUCGACUACCAAAAAGGCAAGUGACACACACCAAAAGUCCCAGUUUUAAUUCUUGCACCGUAGUGUUUUUAUAGUAGACAUGUCUAGGGUUUAUGCUUUUUGCUUGCUAUUAAAUCCUAGUAGUUUAGCUACACCACU